CCCGCCUUGGCCUCCCAAAGUGCGGGGAUUACAGGUGUGAGCCACGGUGCCCAGCCAGUACUACACCAUUUUACAUCAGGGACUUGAACAUCUGUGGAUUUUGGUAUCUGUAGCGGUCCUGGAACCAAUCCCACGCACAUAGACUGUACAAAUGGCCCUUAAUCAUAUGAAAAAACAUUAACUCUCUCUCAAAUAUAACAAAAAUAUAAAAUUAUACCGAAAACCUAUUUCUUCCAUAUCAGAUUGGCAGACAUCCCAAACCAUAGCAAGACAACACUGGCAGGGUGGUGAGGUCACAGGCACUCUCACACAUCACAAACAAUACAACCUCUGGGUAGGGUAAUUAGGCUGUAUCUAUCAACAUUAUAAAAACCAGUAGCUUACAUCAUAAUGGGCCAAACUUCCUGAUAUAUUUUGAAAAAAACCCAAAACUCCUAGAAGUUAGGCAGAGAAAAAGACCAACACCCCAGUGGAAAAAGGGGCGUUAAAGCAGUUCACAGAAGAAGGAACUACAAAUGACCCUUAAUUGUAUGAAAUUGUUAGCUCUAACCAUUGCAUUUCUGGGAAUUUAUCCCACAGAUAUAUUUGCACCUAUAUGAAAUGACAUAUGUAUAUUACUCAUUGUAGCAUUCUCCAUAGUAGCAAAAUAUUGGAAAUAACGUUACUGCCUAUCAAUAGAAGACUGAUAGCCUAAAUUAUGGCACAUCCAUAUAAUACAAUACCAGAUAGCUGUAAAGAAGAAUGAAAACACUUUUUUUUUUUUUUUUGCGAUGGAGUCCACUCUGUUGCCCAGGCUGGAGUGCAGUGUCACAGUCUUGGCUCACUCCAACCCCUGCCUCCCAGUUUCAAGCGAUUCUCUUGCCUCAGCCUCCCAAGUAGCUGGGAUUACAGGUACACACCACCAUGCCCGGCUAAUUUUUUUGUAUGAGAACACUUUUUUGUACUAUUUUGGAAAGAACCACUAGAUGUACUAUUAAAAGAAAAAUGCAUAUACACCUACUAUGUACCCACAACACUUAAAAUUUAAAAUUAAAAAAAAGAAAAAUGCAAAGUUCCAAACAGUAUGUAUAAUAUGCUAUCUGCUAAUUAAAAUGCUAAAAGAAGAAGAAACAGUGGACAGCAAGAAUACACACAUUCAUGUUUGCUUAUAUAUGGGUAAAGAAACUCAGGAAAGUUACAGGAGGAGCUAAUAACAGUGGUUAAUUACAAUGGUAGAGGAGAGGCUUGGCAGAUAAGGGACUCGUUUGCAGAUAUGACUUUCCUUUGUGUACAUUUCUAUAUAUUAUUUUACUUCUUCUGAAAAUGCCACAUAAUUUGCAAUAAAUGAUUCACUCCUUAGCUCCAAAAGCAAGUCCUUUAUCAAAAUGCAAAUGUUCCAGAGGGAUGUAGCCAGAUUCUGUGGACCGCCGUCUUUUUCACCCUUAAGAAUCCGUCGCUAUGAUUUCUCUUCCUCUGCUUGGAGACCUUUAGAGAGCCAGCCUGCAGCUGCUCAGAGCAUUGACUACUAAACAGCUCACAGUUGCUAUUGCUGAAAAUGCCCGGUGGUUAUGCCUUGCCUGACCAGGGGUAGCCCACAGCUGAUGACAGGCCCCCUUGCCUCAAGGUGGGACAACUUCGGUGGUGCCAUUCAUAUCCAGAGCUGCCUGGAAUCAGGCCGAGGCUGGACAUCAGCCGACCCCGCAUCUUUGCUGAGUUUAUUCCUCUGCUGUACUUCCCUCGCUUCCCUCACCUCCUUCUUGGUUUCUCCUGAGAGCCUCCCUCAAUAAAUCACUUACCCCAGAAUCCUUGUCUCAGACUCCGCUUCUAGGACCCAACUUAAGACAUUCACAAAAUAAAUCACAUUGAUGGAAAACAGAUCCCAUUCUCCAAAAUGAAUAACCAGUAGGCACUUGUGACUAGCACAAGCAUCAGCAUAUCCACAUGGUGCUAAACUAACACCAACCCAAAGCAGAUAGUGCUGGGUGGACUCGGUACAAGUUAAUAGCUCAUGGGUCUCCAUCCCCAACACCUUCAGACCCAAGGCUCCAGGGCUGCCAGCCUGAGAACCCUAAGUCAUGAUUUUGGGCACUUUGGCUGGAUUUCCUAGCAACUGGCUGAGAGCAGGACAGGUAAACAGAGUUGGGAGGAGGAAGCAAAAAAGGCUAGAGUGGACAUCAGUUGACUUUGCCUGCCAUGGUAGAGACUUUCAGUCAUCCACCAUAAUCCAUCCCCAUUCUGCUGCACAGAAGUAUUGUGGCUGAGACACCUGCUUUUCUCCACCCCUCUAGUUAAUGUGACUAAAUUCUCCCUAUGGAAUGGGAAUGGAAGGGCCAUACCCAGGCCAGUGUCUUCAGGUAGGGGCUGUGACCCUUCCACACCUGUACCAGACACAAUCAUCAUCUCACUGGGUUUUGCCAGCUUUCAGGUCUAUGUGCUGAAAGCUGCUUACAGCUAACCUCUGCAGAUUUUCCUGGCACAGGAGGCAUGCUUGGCCAGUGCACAGGGCAAGUUGGAAGGGCCCUAAUGUCAGCAGCCUUCAACCAAUGAUGGAUGGAAAGUUGCAGACAGUGUCCUAUGCAUCUGCAGUGGGAUAACUCUGAGACGUGUGCUGUACUGCCUCCUAGAGGGCCCAGGGUGAUUAAGCACCAGUUACCCACAGCAGUAACUUCCUUGAUUCUGUUCCCCACAUGGGCACUUUUCUUCCUGUCACACCUCCCCAAUCCCCUGCAGAUACUUUCUGGGAUUGCUUCCUAAACAAUCCACUUGAACUUUUUUUUUUUUUCUUUUUUUUGACAUGGAGUAUUGCUCUUGUUGCCCAGGUUGGAGUGCAAUGGCACGAUCUUGGCUCACUGCAACUUCCGCUUCCUGGGUUCAAGCAAUUCUCCUGCCUCAGCCUCCUGAGUAGCUGGGAUUACAGGCGCCUGCCAUCACGCCUGGCUAAUUUUUGUAUUUUCAGUAGAGACGGGGUUUCGCCAUGUUGGCCACGCUGGUCUCAAACUCCUGACCUCGUGAUCUGCCCGCCUCGGCCUCCCAAAGUGCUGGGAUUACCGGCGUGAGCCACCGUGCCCAGCCCCACUUGAACUUUAAUCCUUGCCUCGGAAUUGGCUUCUGGGGAAACCAAAAAUAUAUUAAAAAAAGAGAGACCAGGACCUUAAAAAGAGCCCAAGUUGUUGAGCUCCCUGCCAAGUCACCCCCAGGUAUCUCUGCCCACCAGCUUGCAUGAGCCAGAUCCUCAGUGCAGGUUUUUCCAAUCAGUCAUUUGUUCUUCCACCCAACGCUCAAGAUUUGCUUCUUCAAGACAACUCUCUGAUCAGCUGAGACCCAUAGACACCCAGCUUCUACCACACAUAUGAUGGCAUUAUCCUAGGGCAUGGCAGAGCAACGCAAGGGAAAACUCUGGGCCCCCAAGUGAUGUCAUGGAGGAGAACUCUCAACCCAGAACUACUACGUGAGAAACAACGCUCUCUCUUCUUUAAGCCAUAGGUGUGUUGGGAAUCUUUGUUACAGCAGCACGCCUGAUCUUUUGUUUUGUUUUGUUUUGUUUUAGAGAUGGAGUCUUGCUCUUUCGCCAGGCUGGAGUGCAGUGGUGCGAUCUUGGCUCACCAUGUUGGUCAGGCUGGUUUCAAAUCCCUGACCUCAAGUGAUCCUCCCACCUUGGCCUCCCAAAGUGCUGGGAUUACAGGUGUGAGCCACCGCACCCGGCCCAGCCAUGCCUUGUCUUAACUAGCAUAGCCGCCCAACGUCCACUUCUUUUGGCCAUGUUGUCCUGAUUCUGCUGGAGAAUCCCUUUCCCACUGCUCCCAGACCAGUGGUGUAGCUGACCUGCGCUCUCUCCACUCAAUUCAGGGGAGGGAGGGGUUUAGGCCUGGGCUAAGAGAGCUGCACAUUUCCCAGGGCACAGUGAUUAGUUGAGGGUGGGUCCCAGAGCCAAAUCUGCCCAAGAUCUUAGCCUGAAAGAGAAACCCUCCUGCUGAGUGACUGCACUGUGAGGCAGAAGUCCAGAGCUGUGGGUGGCCAUCCAGCCUCCAUUUGCGCCUGCCUGAGAAAGAAGCCACCAUGGGGGAAAUCGAGCUAAAAGACGGAGAGGGAGGUAAGAGAGGAUGACAUCACAUAAGCACCAGAUCUGGCCACCCCUGAAACUGGAACAACCCUAAGCUUUACAGCUACUACAUUCCCUUUUCUGCUGAAGUUGUUUUACACUGGGUUUCUGUCUCUUGCAACCAAGAGCUCUGUUAAAUAAAAACCUGACCCUAAGGAGAACGUUAGCUGGUUCACAAUUCCCUGUGCAAAACAGGCACAGGUCAGCUGCCCCAGCCUGUCGUUUGGAUAUUCCUUUCUAAGAACGCUCACUUUUGUUGUCUACAUGACCCAGAUAACCAAGGAGAAAGCAAAUCAACCGCCUUCCAGCGGCGCCUUCCUUGGCAGCAAGUGCUAAGAGAGAACACAAUGUGAGUACUCUGCCCUCUGGAGUCAGGGUUGAUCCUCAGCACUUGCUGUCCUGGGAGGCUGCACCUGUGACACUUGAGUGCCAGGUUCAACCCCUACUGCUGCUGCUGCUGCCUGAAUGGGGCCAUUUAGACUGUUGAGUGCUACAGCCUCAGCCCAGGAACCCGGAGCUUCACAUGAGGCAGAGCAGGGCCCCAGGGUCCCUGAAACUUGCCAGUUCAAACAGCAGAGGGGUGAGGACUCCCCAGUCAGCCCUGGUCUCAUACCUGCCUCUGCAUGGUCCCAGUCCAGCCUGAGGCCUUUGCUUUCUUUUUUGAAGGGAAGGUGAGGAGAGAGGGGGAAAAUAGAGGUGUUCUGACUAGACUUAGGAUUCCUGGCCUCUGCCUCUGACCGCCAGAGGACAGCCUCUGCAGUUGCCUCAUCUACUCAUGAAAACAGGCCUGUGACCCCAGGGGUGCUCUGAGGAUUCUUCCAGAAAACAUCUGCCCAGCUAGGACUACCUAGCUCACUGCCCAAAAAGGGUUCAUUUCCUUUCCUUCUGAAACAAAAGCGCUUAAUUGGAAGAGAAGCAUUGACUCAAGCUAUAGGAUAUGCCACUUAAAAUGUCCAGAUCUUGGCACAAGGCCUGGCGCACAGUGUGGGAGAGAAGGAGAGAAGAAGGUGGAAGGAAAGGAGGGAGGGGAAAGAGGAAGCAGGGAGGGAGAAAAUAAGACAAGGGCCUCCUCAUCUGGAUGCUUCCCUAGACCAAGAAGUGGCCCAGGUGGUGCCCAGGGGACAGGGAGUGGGCAAUAAAAGACAAUGGGGUGUAGGUGAUAGGGUGUAGAUGAUCAGGGUAUAGGUGAUCAGGAUGUAGGUGAUCAGGGUGUAGGUGAUGGGAUGUAGGUGAUCAGGGUCAAGGUGAUUGAGGUGUAGGUGAUGGGAUGUUGGCAACCAGGGUGUAGGUGAUCAGGAUGUAGGUGAUGGGGUGUAGACGAUCAGGGUGUAGGUGAUGGGCUGUUGCUGACCAGGGUGUAGGUGAUCAGGGUGUAGGUGAUCCGAACUUCCUACUCAAUUCAGGCAACAGCUCCCAGCCUGAGGCAAAUACCCCCCGAGGCAGUCAGGGUCUCACCUCCCAUGGCUCUGACGCAGGCCUCCAAGGUGAGGAGAUGGAGGUAGCAGAGGUCACUUCACUCAGCUGUCACACACCCUGAGGGAACUCCUGUCACUGUUAUCCCACCUGCAAGUGAGGAGCCAGCAUUUCUCAUGCUCCAGGGUUGGCCACAGAGCCCAUUCAAGGGAGGGAGAAGAGCCUUCGGCCAGCGCAUCCUAACCGCAGAAAGCCAAGACCUCUGCAGAAAAAGAGACCAGGCCCAUAAAAAGAGAUCCAUGAGUUGAGUUCCCUGCCAUGCCACCCCCAGGCAUCUCUGCCCACCAGCCUGCAUGAGCCAGCCCCUCAGUGCAGGUUUUUCCAAUUGGCCGUUUGUUCUUCCACCCAACACUCAAGAUUUGCUUCUCAGCCUGGACAACAUAGCAAAACCCCAUCUCUACAAAAAAUACAAAAAUUAGCUGGGCAUAGUGGCACACACCUAUAGUCCCAGCUACUCGGGAGGCUGAAGUGGGAAGAUUACCUGAGCCUGGGAGGUCAAGGUUGCAGUGAGCCAUGAUCAUGCCACUGUACUCCAGCCUGGGUGACAGAGUGAGAACUUGUCUCAAAAACAAAAAAAGAGAGGAAGAUCUGCUUCUUCAAACCCACACAACUAAUAUAAAGUAAUCAACCUCCCCACCUCAAUAACCUGAAGUUAAACAUCACACAAUAAGCCCUGAACAGAGAGCUGUAGGUCAAUGUUCCAUUUUGCUUUUAAAAGCUUCACAAGAACAUUUCAUUUAUUAAAAUAGUUUCUGUAAACUCUUUCAGAAUAACAAAAUUCACUUGCCUUGCUUAAACAGCAUUUCAAGUAGAAGUAUUUUUAUUUCAAGGCACCAUAAAAUGAUGAUCUCUCUAAGAAAUACCUCUCCUUC
rnacentral:lncRNA from 1 species